rnacentral:miRNA from 1 species
UCACCCUGGACUGACUCUCAG